AAGGUAUAAGGGCUUUCACGGAGGAUGCCUGAGUAGCAGGGAGGAAGAAGGGAGCGUAAGCCAGCUGCGAAAAGCCGCGUGUAGGUGCAAGCAGCCAUAGAAGCGCGGAUGCCCGAAUGGAAACCCACCAGGUAAGAUACUUGGUAUCCUGAAAGAAGCGAACCUUGCGAACUGGAAACAUCUGCUUAGUAGCGAGAGGAAAAGAAAUCGAAGAGAUUCCCUGAGUAGCGGCAGGCAGGGCAGGAAGAGCCUAAACCUAUAUAAUUAGCGUACGGGCGUUGCUAUAUGGGUAGAGGGAUAUACAGGUCUGACCGUACAGGGGCGGGAGAAAUGACAAAGGCUAGUCGAACUAUCUGGGAAGAUAGACGGAGAGGUGAAAGUCCUGUGGAAAGGCGAAAGUUAGAGCUAUCCUUGUAUAUAUCCCGAGUAAGCGCGGGGGCACGAGAUCCCGCGUGAAUCUGGGAGACCGCUCUAAGGCUAAAUACUACCUGCUGACCGAUAGCGAAAAAAAAGUGCCGUGAGGAAGGUAGAAAAAGCACCCCGGAGGGUGAAAAGUACCUGAAACCGUGAGUCUCUACGAUAAGUGGGAGCACGAGGUACGACCGCGAUAUACUGAUUAAUGAGCCUGCAGGUUACGUAACUGGCGAGUUAAUCCGGAUAGAAACCGAGGAAACCGAGUCUUAACAGGGCGGAAGUCGGUUGCGAUGAAACCGGGUGAGCUAUCAUAUGGGCAGGUUGAAGGUGAUAACACCGCUGGAGGACCGAACCAGUUAGCAGUAAAAAGCUGUUGGAUGACCUGUGGAUGGGUGAAAAAGCCUAACCGACUCGGUGAUAUCUGGUACUCCUCAAGAACGUGUUUAAGCACGGCCUUGCAUGUGGUUAGUGGAGGGUAGAGCACUGAUUGGGCUAGGGGCGACCUCCAACUGAUCAAACUCCGAAUACCUCUCUACUCAAAGUGCAGGAGACAGACUGCGAGCGAUAAGGUCCACCGUAGUCGAGAGGGAAGCAGCCAGACCCGCAACUAAGGGCCAGAGAGAUAGCUAAGUGUUAAAGGGAAGUGGAGAGUCAAAAGACAGCUAGGAUGUUUGGCAGAAGCAGCCAUCAUUAAAAAAGAGUGCGUAACAGCUCACUAGUCGAGACUCACCGCGCCGAAGAUGUAAGGGGGCUAAAGCUGUCCUCCGAAGCUGUGGAACAGAGCGCUGUUGGUAGAGGAGCAUUGUGUUGUAGGGAGAAAGGCAAGACCGUGAGGGGCUGUUGGACGAGACACAAAAGAGAGAAUGCAGGCAUGAGUAAACGAAAGGAAGUGAAUCUCUCCCCCGAAAGCCUAAGGGGUACCUGGGGAGGUUCGUCCGCCCAGGGUUAGUCGGAACCUAGGGGAACCCGAAAGGGGGGUAACCGAUGGGAAACCGGUUAAUAUUCCGGUACUGGCGUAGCAUGAGUUUUCAGGUGUGACACAGGAGGAUGGGCGUUGUACUGGUUGCAUGAGUGCGUCCAAGUUUCAGUCCGGAGAUCGCGGCAGGAAAUCCUGCGGAGGGUGAGGGACGAAUGGGAGUUCACUUCCGGGAGCAACAACGUUGAGUUCACACUGUCUAGAAAAGCAUCGCAAAGCGUUUAGUGCUAAGCCAAUCGUUCUGAAACCGACACAGGUAGGCAAGCUGAAAGGCUAAGGGGGCAGGAUAACUCCUGGCAAAGACUAGGUAAAUUAGCCCCGUAACUUGGGAGAAGGGGUACUCUGGUUGGUUAGAGCUGACUGGAGUCGCAGUGACAAGGCAGCGGCGACUGUUACCAAACCUGAGGCUCUGCGAAUUCGAAGAAGACGUAGGGUCUGACACCUGCCCAGUGCUGGAAGGUUAAGGGAAAGAUUGGCGUAAGCAAACUUUGAGCAAGAAACCCCAGUAAACAGCAGCCCAAUAGCUAUGUGGUCCCUAAGGUGGCAGAAAUUCCCUUUGUCAGGUAAGUUCCGACCUGCACGAAUAGCCCGUAACGAUCGCUGCACUGUCUCAACAGGAGACCAGUGAAAUUUCAGUCUGGGUGAAGAUGCCCAGGACUCGCAACUGGAAAGACCCCAUGGAGCUUUACUGUAGCUUGGUAUUGUGCUUUGUUGUGGUGUUACCCAGGAUAGGUAGGAGGCGUAGAACCCGGUUCGCCAGGAUCAGGGGAGCCAACAUUCAGGAUACUACCCUCCAUACAACGGAGUAUGCUGCACCGUGUGGAAGCACGGCAGGGACAUUUGCUAAGUGGAGCAGUUGGCUGAGACGGUCGCCUCCAAAAAGAGGUAACGGAGGCGCGCUAAGGUUAGCUCAGGUUGGUUGGAAAUCAACCAUAGGUGUAAGGGCAAAGCCAGCUUGACUGUAUGAGACUGACAGGUCGAACAGGAGGAAACUUUCUAGCCCUAGUGACCCUGCGGCCCCUGAGUGGAAGGCCGUUGAUCAACGGAUAAAAAGCCCACCCACUGGGGAUAACAGGCUUAUACUGCCGAGAGUUCAUAUCGACGGCGGUGUUUGGCACCUCGAUGUCAGCUCUGUCGCAUCCUGGGGCUGGAGCAGGUCCCAAGGGUUAGGCUGUUCAUAUAUUAAAGCGGUACGUGGCUGGGUUCAGACGUCGUGAGACAGUUCGGUCCCUAUCUGUUGCGAGCGUAGGGAGACUUGAAGGGUAGCCCCUAGUACAGGAGGACCGGGGUUAGUGGACCUCCUAGUGAAUCAGUUGUCGUGCAAGCGGCGGUAGCUGAAAUGCUUACGUUCUUGAGUGAUAACCGCUGACAGCAUCUAAGCGGGAAGCACGCUUCAAGACUAGAUCUCUCAGGAUCGUUCGAAGAGGACGUGAAUAGGCUGGAGAUAUGAAAGCACUACAACCAGAGUGUUCAGUCGACCAGUACUAAUAAUCCGAUUCCUUUACCUU
rnacentral:rRNA from 1 species